GAAGCAUAUUGUAAAUUGAGAAUAAUAAUAACUUUACUCAGACUGGAGGUUCCUGCACGUUUGGUAAUGUUUCUACUUUAAGAAAAGUCUGAGUUAAAUCGCAACUGUGGCAACAAUUUCAUUCCUCAAACAUAAAACUCACACCAGUUUCACACUGAAGCCUUAGGAUUCAUUAAGUGAAGUUAUUUUUGUGAUAAGCUGUAACAAGCCUGUUAGGCAAGGGUGCAAAUCAGCUCCACUACAACUGAUUGAGCUGAUCUCUGGCGGUUCCUGCCUUUGGAGCACCGUCUUUAUGACAACGGCGCAGCUGCAGUAGAUGAGUGAUUGGGCUCAGAACCAGUUUGAUUGAGAAGUCAAACUCUUAAUGCUCAGUGUCCAUAACACCUCUGUGUAUAUUACUGAUGAGUAAAUUAUAUUAAUGCAAAUUUAUAGCACAAUGCCUUGUGGGUAAUGCACUAUAACAGAAACUGGUGUAAAUAGGACUGACCCUUGUAAUGAUUGCUGAAUGACUUUUGCAUUAGACUCUUCAUAUUUAUGUCAGAGUUGCACCUUAAAAUCUGUUGUAAAUAUCAGCUUUUUGUUCAAUAACAAUAUUAUAAGUAAGUAAUUAAGUAUUUUAAAUAAGUAUCUUUUUUAUAUCAGAGAAGGCUCAUCAGCUUUGUCCUUAAAGAUAGAUUUUGUAAUAAAAUAUUAACAUUUGCUUUUGGUUUAAAUAUUUGAAUAUGUUUUAAAAUUUAAGUCUUACCUUAAAGGACACAUAUCAUACUUUUCAUUCUAAAAAAUAUUAGACUUUAAUGUCUCAGUAAGGUCUCUGUAAAUUUUCGUCCCAUAAAACCCUUUAGAUCGUCCACACUGCCCCUCUCAAUAUGUGGUUCUCACUCCCCAUCAGCAAACGUUGUGUUUUCUGGGCGUGUCGCAAGCGAAGCUGCUCGCCACACCUCUGUGCGGAAGCGCAUACCUUUUUUGUUGUUGUUUUUUUUUUUUAAUUGGCUCCAUGGAUACGAGCCACCGCACGGUUACGAUAAAAUAGGUGGCAGUAGUGCGACAUUGAGAACACAAUCCUCCACAGAAGAAGACCCGCUACAGGACUGCACGACAUUAGCCAGCCAGCUGGUUCGUAGCGUAGUAGAACCAUACGUCUACGAUCCCGAAUCUGACCCUGAAGCUGAAGAGGAGGCUGUUGAAGUUGCCACAUUUCGGCUGAUGCAAGAUGUGUCUCAUUGUUGUUACAGGUAUCUAGUCUACAGAGGCUAGUGAGCUGGUGCUGAGGAUUCCUAGGGUGAAGAAUCUGAGUUGCCAUCUCUUCAUGCUUGGGUUGUAGAUGAAGGCAGAGUCUCCUGAUGGAUAAAACACUAAAACACUCAUUGUAUGAUGGAUGUAAACCACCUGUGGAAUAACUCCUUUACCAUUUGAGUAAAAAUGUGUUUUUUGUGAGUGCAAUACUACUACAAUUAAGAAUUUUUUUUUAAUUUAUAUAUAAUUUAUAUGCUUUUUAUUUAUGGCCGCUUCAACUUUAUAGCUUACCAUAUUCUAGAAAGAGAAAAAACAUGUAAUUUCAAUACUAUGAUUUCCUGAAUAAAAGUGUUUUCCCUUCAGAAACAGAGUUCAGUGAAAUACAUAAUAGUUAAAGCCAACUUUAUUGUAAACCAAAAAAAUACACCACUACUCCAAAGCUAGAACAAACUGUUACCUUCACACUCCAAUGUGCAAUGUAUAGGUUACUGAGUUAAUUAAGAAGUCUGGGGGUUUGAGGACAGAAGCUUUUGCAGGGCCUUGCAGACGAAAUGCAUGAAAGUAGGGUAAACAGGGAGAUGUGGUGAUCCUUGUUCUCAUCACUAUUUGGAAGACUGAGCGGAAGCAGUCCUCUACCAGAUGGAAGCUGUGGCUGUCCUCACCAUCACCUCAUCAAAACAAAAGUUACUGCAACCAGAAUUGUAGAUUAGUGAAAUGUUCAUUAUUAUGUAGGUCAAAACCUUCUCUAAUGUAAGAACACACAAUACCAGAAAAAAAUUAAACCAAACAAGAGGACAGGCCUGUCUGUGCUAAAACAACAGAUAAACAGUUGUUACAAUUCAAAUAUAAAAUCUAAACAAUAUAUACCAAUUAAAAUCUUCUAUUACCUAUCUUACUGUUGGUACAUACAAACUUACAUACAUUCACUCCUGAGCUGGGCAGCAGAUGUCCGUGUACCAACAGUCUGCAGUGAUUUCACUGUUUGACAGCCUCCUUGCAUGUGGGCAACUGGGAUUUGCCCUCCUACAGUA